GAUCAUGGCUCAGGAUGAACGCUGGCGGCGUGCUUAACACAUGCAAGUCGAACGGGAAUUACUUUAUUGAAACUUCGGUCGAUUUAAUUUAAUUCUAGUGGCGGACGGGUGAGUAACGCGUGGGUAACCUGCCUUAUACAGGGGGAUAACAGUCAGAAAUGGCUGCUAAUACCGCAUAAGCGCACAGAGCUGNAGUGCGUGGUGAACAAACGUCGGUGUAA
rnacentral:rRNA from 1 species